rnacentral:rRNA from 1 species
AACGAACGCUGGCGGCAUGCUUAACACAUGCAAGUUGAGCGAGAACCGGAGGGCUUGCUCUUUGGGGACAGCAGCGCACGGGUGAGUAACGCGUGGAUAACGUGCCCUAGGGUUGGGAAUAACUCGCCGAAAGGUGAGCUAAUGCCGAAUGUGUUCCAAUAAGGUGCGCCUAUUUGGAAGAAAGCGGGGCAAACCCGCGCCCAAGGAUCGGUCCGCGUUCCAUCAGCUAGUUGGUGAGGUAAUGGCUCACCAAGGCUACGACGGAUAGCUGGUCUGAGAGGAUGAUCAGCCACACUGGGACUGAGAUACGGCCCAGACUCCUACGGGAGGCAGCAGUGGGGAAUAUUGGUCAAUGGCGAAAGCCUGAACCAGCAAUGCCGCGUGAGUGAUGAAGGCCUAGGGUUGUAAAGACUCUGUCAGUGGGAACGAAUAAGUCGGUUAA